AUACGGAGGGUGCAAGCGUUACUCGGAAUCACUGGGCGUAAAGCGCGCGCAGGCGGCCAUUUAAGUUGGAUGUGAAAGCCUACGGCUCAACCGUAGAACUGCAUCCAAAACUAUUUAGCUAGAGUGUGGGAGAGGAAGAUGGAAUUAGUUGUGUAGGGGUAAAAUCCGUAGAGAUAACUAGGAAUACCAAAAGCGAAGGCAAUCUUCUGGAACACUACUGACGCUGAGGCGCGAAAGCGUGGGGAGCGAACGGGAUUAGAAACCCUAGUAGUCC
rnacentral:rRNA from 1 species